UACGUAGGGGGCAAGCGUUGUCCGGAAUCAUUGGGCGUAAAGCGCGUGUAGGCGGCCCGGUAAGUCCGCUGUGAAAGUCCAGGGCUCAACCCUGGGAUGCCGGUGGAUACUGUCGGGCUCGAGUCCGGAAGAGGAGUGUGGAAUUCCUGGUGUAGCGGUGAAAUGCGCAGAUAUCAGGAGGAACACCGGUGGCGAAGGCGGGUCUCUGGGCCGAUACUGACGCUGAGGAGCGAAAGCGUGGGGAGCGAACAGG
rnacentral:rRNA from 1 species